GACGAACGCUGGCGGCGUGCUUAACACAUGCAAGUCGAACGAAGAGCGAUGGAAGCUUGCUUCUAUCAAUCUUAGUGGCGAACGGGUGAGUAACGCGUAAUCAACCUGCCCUUCAGAGGGGGACAACAGUUGGAAACGACUGCUAAUACCGCAUACGAUCUAAUCUCGGCAUCGAGGAUAGAUGAAAGGUGGCCUCUACAUGUAAGCUAUCACUGAAGGAGGGGAUUGCGUCUGAUUAGCUAGUUGGAGGGGUAACGGCCCACCAAGGCGAUGAUCAGUAGCCGGUCUGAGAGGAUGAACGGCCACAUUGGGACUGAGACACGGCCCAGACUCCUACGGGAGGCAGCAGUGGGGAAUCUUCCGCAAUGGACGAAAGUCUGACGGAGCAACGCCGCGGGAGUGAUGACGGCCUUCGGGUUGGAAAGCUCUGUUAAUCGGGACGAAAGGCCUUCUUGCGAAUAGGGAGAAGGAUUGACGGUACCGGAAGAGAAAGCCACGGCUAACUACGUG
rnacentral:rRNA from 1 species